GUAUACACGGGAAAAAAUCGUUGCCGGAUCCAUGACUAAAAUGUUAUGAAAUCAUAAAACUUGUCGCUUCAUGAUAUUGUAACUACAAGUCAUGAUAUCGUGACGUUAACAACGAUUAUCAUGAAUAAUAAUAACUGAUUCCAUCAACAAAAGCCAUGGCCGUCAAAAGCGUUAUGAAAAAAUUAAGCUCGUUUUCAUAAAUUGAAUACCAUAAAGCUGAGUCAUGGUAGCAAGGCUCUGAGUCAUAAAACUAUGACGCUGAGUCAUCUCAACCAGACGCUGAGUCAUAUAAACAUAACGCAGAGUCAUAAAAUCAUGAAUCACAACAAACGAAUUUGGGCACUGUAAGCGUUACGCAAACCCUCGCGCAGAAUCACCUAGGCCAUUUUUGUCACUUCUGUCAAGGCGCCUUUUGUGAGCGGCAGUGUUUUCCGAAGUUGAAAGUGGAAAAACUCCAUAUUCCGGCACAAAACUCCGGCCAGCUUCAUCAGCAGCAGAACAAUCAAGCUCACGCACAAUUCCGGCACAAAAUUUUGGCUAAAUGCAUGACGUAAUCUAUGGACGCCCCCUAUGUCUAUGGACCAUUUUACGAGACGAUUCAGAACAACUGAUCGUUCAUUUUAUGAAUGAAAAUUUGACA